AGAUCACAACCCACCACCUACAGGAGCAGCACGAGGCUGAAAUCUUCCAGCUGAAGAGUGAGUUGUCCCACAGAUCCUUUGGCUGGAGAGCCGAGUGCUGGAGCUGGAGCUGCAUGGAGAUCCCACCAGCCAGGGCUGUGCAGUCCCAGUGGAGUCUGACCCCAGGCACCCCCGGGCACCAGCCCAAGAGCUCAGACACAAAGCCCGGGUGCCUGGACACUCUGAUGAUCGCAGAUUCCAGGUGCAGCCCAAGAACGCCGUGAACCCCGAGAACGAGCAGCACAGCCUGGGGAGCGGCGUGAGUGUGCAGCCACCUAGCUCAGGGGAGAGGGCAGCACCAGAGACCCCAAGCCUACGGUCUCAUCCAGCCAGCCCUGUGUGCCCCACAGCUGCUGGGGGGCCAGGAGCAGCUGCAGGGAGAAGUGAAGUGGGCGCUGGAGCGUCAAGAGGCCCGGCAGCAGGCACUGGAGAUGCGUGUGUGAGUGGCCAUCUCACCUGGGGCCCCAUCCCGGAGCAGAGAGAACUCCUCAUCGUGGGCCUGCUGAGCCUUGCCCCCGUGUCUUCAGGGCAGC
rnacentral:sRNA from 1 species